rnacentral:tRNA from 1 species
UGCCAGGUGGCUCAGUGGUAAAGAAUCUGCCUGCCAAGUAGUAAAUCCAGGUUGGAUUCCUGGGUUGGUAA